rnacentral:sRNA from 1 species
AGUCAAGUACCUUUCCAUUGAACCCUAUAUUGGCCGAUUAAUUUUUGGUAUUUUUCGCUGCAAAAAUAUAUUAAGAUUUGUGCACGCAAUUUUACAAAUAAUUGGCAUUGGUAGGGUCAUUUGGCCAAAAACAACAUUUUGCUGGGCAACGCCGGUGGAUUGUUUACAACUCGUAAUGUCAAAUGCCUGCUGGGUAGCAGUAUGCCGUUUAGUAUGCAGUUUAAAAAUUUUUCUGGUCAAAAGUUAUUGCUUUGUUCACCCACCGAUGAGCGCCAAAUUCUAUGUUGAGUGAAAAACGUAUACCAGCAUUUCCUUUCAUAAACGAGACACCACAUCAAGAAAUAGAAGAUGAAUCAAUUAUGGAAACAAUAAAAUACGCAUGUGAAAAUUGUGAUGAUGCAAAUAUCAAAUAUUCAAUUUCUCGAAAUUUCUUUAAUUUGCAAAAACCAAACCUGAAUAAGGAGAUACAAACCAACGCUCAGUAUAUCGUUUUCCAAGUAUUUUUUUCAUCGUUUCGCCGACAUUUUUUGUUGAGUUUGACAGCAUUCCGCCUAAAAAGCUGAACAGAAUACUCCUGGAUAGAUGAAAUUUGCAUACAAAUUUCAUUACACUGUCCUAUAUAUAGUGCUAAAAUAAAACACAGCUACAAUAAGCAAUCCCUAUGAUGUGCUAUGUAAAGUGCCCAUUAAGUAGUAAAAGUCGACUUCGACAAGACUUACUGCCUGUUUCACUAAGCUUAUUGCUUCCACUCACUCGCACACUAUCAGUCAAACAGCUGAUUUGGGUUCCAAUAAGAAGCAGAAAAACGACUAAUCGGGUGAGUGACAACGUGCAAGAAGACGUAAGCAAAUUGCUUUAUAAUUGCGUUUCACUAUGCGUGUGCUAGUGUCAAUUCGAAGAAGACAAGUGUCAAAAACACUCACUUGCAUUUUAGCCUUCGCGCGCUAAAUUAUUAAAAAACGGAAAAGAAAAUCGUAAAAAAAUCUACACCCCAGCAGCUACAAGAGCUGGUCAAAGCCAUGAUGGAGGAUUCGGAUUUGGCCAAGGGUAUUCCAGUAUUUGGAGGGUCCA